AUUAACUUUCUUGUUUAUCUAGAACAAAAUAAUGAUUUAGAGACCAACGGGAUUUGUAAGAGGAGGAAAUAGUACUCCUUGUCACCUUCCUCUCAUAAAGAUGUGAUAUUCAUAAGUUUUUUUCAUGGGUGGAACUCAUAUGCUUGUGAGAGGAUUUAUCAUACAGUAGCCAUGCAUUCCUUUCAUAAUGGACUCAUAUUCACUAAUCAUUGGUCUUUAUGAAUAAAAUACUCUUAAUUAAUUCAUAUCCCAUCCCACUAAUCAUAAUCCUAAGAAAUAAACCAUGUUAUAUUAGCAUGUAUAAUGAAGCAAACACAAUGUGAUGCAUCCAAGAAGACAAAUUAG
rnacentral:misc_RNA from 1 species